rnacentral:tRNA from 1 species
GCUUCUGUAGUGUAGUUCGGUCAAUCUGACUUAGUUUUCAAUAAACUAUGAUCAGGAUUAAGCAUCCGAGGCUCUCACCCUCGGGACCCGGGUUCGAAUCCCGGCAGAAGCA